rnacentral:rRNA from 1 species
UACGAAGGGUGCAAGCGUUAAUCGGAAUUACUGGGCGUAAAGCGUGCGCAGGCGGUUUGUUAAGUCCGUUGUGAAAGCCCCGAGCUCAACUUGGGAAUUGCAGUGGAUACUGGCAGGCUGGAGUACGGUAGAGGAAGGUGGAAUUCCCGGUGUAGCAGUGAAAUGCGUAGAGAUCGGGAGGAACACCAGUGGCGAAGGCGGCCUUCUGGACCAGUACUGACGCUCAUGCACGAAAGCGUGGGGAGCAAACAGG